rnacentral:rRNA from 1 species
AUUGAACGCUGGCGGCAGGCUUAACACAUGCAAGUCGAGCGGAGCGAGGGUGCUUGCACCUUAGCUUAGCGGCGGACGGGUGAGUAAUGCUUAGGAAUCUGCCUAUUAGUGGGGGACAACAUUCCGAAAGGAAUGCUAAUACCGCAUACACCCUACGGGGGAAAGCAGGGGAUCUUCGGACCUUGCGCUAAUAGAUGAGCCUAAGUCGGAUUAGCUAGUUGGUGGGGUAAAGGCCUACCAAGGCGACGAUCUGUAGCGGGUCUGAGAGGAUGAUCCGCCACACUGGGACUGAGACACGGCCCAGACUCCUACGGGAGGCAGCAGUGGGGAAUAUUGGACAAUGGGCGGAAGCCUGAUCCAGCCAUGCCGCGUGUGUGAAGAAGGCCUUUUGGUUGUAAAGCACUUUAAGCGAGGAGGAGGCUACUUAGAUUAAUACUCUGGGAUAGUGGACGCUACUCGCAGAAUAAGCACCGGCUAACUCUGUGCCAGCCGCCGCAGUAAUAC